rnacentral:rRNA from 1 species
CGUGAGUCGAGGCCGCCUGUCGUUUCGUGUCGCCUCAAAUCCUCUCGAUCUUCUCUUGCCAAAUCCUUGCCGCCGUUCCUCCAAAACCUAAAUUCGAAUCCGAAGGCCUCGUAUGACGGGAACCUUGGCCUGUACGAAAGUCUUCCGGAGACGGCAACCAAGCAGCGGCGACGACGGGUACCCGGCGGCCACUGGCGACGGCAACAAAGGUCCGGACGGCCGUCUCAACGGUGAAGCCAUGGCUAAUUGACGACGGUCUGCGACUGUGACGAGUGACGACUCGUCUAUGCUGAGGCGUCAACAGCCCCUGCGUGGCCUCCUGCAACUACGACAAUUACUUCAUAGAAAGCUGUAGCCUGUCGUCCGUAGGAAGCUGUAGACUGUAUGUCUGUAGCACAUGUAUUACAGUGUUAGUGUGGUGCUCAUAUUAGUGUAAUUCCUUCGAGGAAGCUGUAUCUUGUUGCCUGUACCAGAUGUAUUAGUGCAAUGCUUAUACCUUCUUUGUUAUUGCCAAAAAAAUCACUGACUAGUUCAGUUAAAUCAUGAAAAAAUAAGUGACUUCAUGUGGUCAAAACAUGUUUUGUUCAGUAAACCUUUUUACUUACAGGAA